GAUGAACGCUGGCGGCGUGCCUAAUACAUGCAAGUCGAGCGAACGGACGAGAAGCUUGCUUUUCUGAUGUUAGCGGCGGACGGGUGAGUAACACGUGGAUAACCUACCUAUAAGACUGGGAUAACUUCGGGAAACCGGAGCUAAUACCGGAUAAUAUUUUGAACCGCAUGGUUCAAAAGUGAAAGACGGUCUUGCUGUCACUUAUAGAUGGAUCCGCGCUGCAUUAGCUAGUUGGUAAGGUAACGGCUUACCAAGGCAACGAUGCAUAGCCGACCUGAGAGGGUGAUCGGCCACACUGGAACUGAGACACGGUCCAGACUCCUACGGGAGGCAGCAGUAGGGAAUCUUCCGCAAUGGGCGAAAGCCUGACGGAGCAACGCCGCGUGAGUGAUGAACGUCUUCGGAUCGUAAAACUCUGUUAUUAGGGAAGAACAUAUGUGUAAGUAACUGUGCACAUCUUGACGGUACCUAAUCAGAAAGCCACGGCUAACUACGUG
rnacentral:rRNA from 1 species